rnacentral:tRNA from 1 species
CAGGGUUUAGCUUAGCACAGUAAAGCGCCUCUUUUACACCGAGGAGUCACCCGUGCAAACCGGGUCGCCCUGA